CCAACGGCUCUUUUCAGAGCCACCCCACCUUCUCUGCGAAAGAGCUG
rfam:Charadrius vociferus contig37528, whole genome shotgun sequence.